AGCCUUGGGGUGUAACAUACCAGAUUGCAAAUCUGGAGAAGCAGGCCAAUAUCCUGCCGGGGCUU
rnacentral:tRNA from 1 species